rnacentral:lncRNA from 1 species
AUUAAGACUUGAUUACUAGACUUUUAGAAAAAUAUUUUUAGUUGAGGACUUCUUAUUUUAGAAACCUAAAAAAGCUAAAAAAACUGACCGUAGGUUGUGGGCAAGGACUAGUCCUUUUUCUAGGAUGUUUCUUGUCUUUAUGCUUUGACAAAAAUAUGUAUCAAACAAAUUCCCUUAAGAGUGGCAGUUUUUCAAUGUCUAGCUAAUCCACUGCUUGCCGCCCCGCCACACAGGGCCAUACCUCUGCGCAAUUGCAGCAGGUGCCACCGCACAGGGUCCCCAAAUUUUUGGGGCUCCGACCCAAUUAUGCAUAUGGCUAGAUAUAUUAGUCUAUAGG